rnacentral:rRNA from 1 species
AGCGAACGCUGGCGGCAGGCCUAACACAUGCAAGUCGAACGAACUCUUCGGAGUUAGUGGCGGACGGGUGAGUAACACGUGGGAACGUGCCUUUUGGUUCGGAAUGACUCAGGGAAACUUGUGCUAAUACCGAAUGUGCCCUUCGGGGGAAAGAUUUAUCGCCAUUAGAGCGGCCCGCGUCUGAUUAGCUAGUUGGUGAGGUAACGGCUCACCAAGGCGACGAUCAGUAGCUGGUCUGAGAGGAUGACCAGCCACACUGGGACUGAGACACGGCCCAGACUCCUACGGGAGGCAGCAGUGGGGAAUCUUGCGCAAUGGGCGAAAGCCUGACGCAGCCAUGCCGCGUGAAUGAUGAAGGUCUUAGGAUUGUAAAAUUCUUUCACCGGGGACGAUAAUGACGGUACCCGGAGAAGAAGCCCCGGCUAACUUCGUG